CCUACGGGAGGCAGCAGUGAGGAAUAUUGGUCAAUGGACGAAAGUCUGAACCAGCCAUGCCGCGUGCAGGAUGACGGCUCUAUGAGUUGUAAACUGCUUUUGUAUGAGGGUAAACACCCCUACGUGUAGGGGCUUGAAAGUAUAAUACGAAUAAGGAUCGGCUAACUCCGUGCCAGCAGCCGCGGUAAUACGGAGGAUCCAAGCGUUAUCCGGAUUUAGUGGGUUUAAAGGGUGCGUAGGCGGUUUGAGAAGUUAGAGGUGAAAUACCGGUGCUCAACACCGGAACUGCCUCUCAUACUGUUGCCCUAGAUCGUAGUUGCGGUAGGCGGAAUCUCUGGUGUAGCGGUGAAAUGCUUAGAGAUCAUCCAGAACACCGAUUGCGAAGGCAGCUUCCCAAACUUUAUCUGACGUUGAGGCACGAAAGCGUGGGUAGCAAACAGGAUUAGAUACCCCUGUAGUC
rnacentral:rRNA from 1 species